ACCGUUUUGUUUCAUAACCAGAACUCACACCUCCAAUCAAUCAGCAUCUAUUUAUUCCUUCUUCAUUUUAUUCCUACAAGGAAAUUCUUAGUCUUAACAGUCGUUCAUGAAUCUUUGCAGUUGAAGCCAGAACUCAAUCUGAGAACCAAGGCAAAAAAGAAUCAAAUAGAAAUAGAGGAAAGCUUCAUCUGGUGAUAUGAAUGGAGAUAAUCUGAUGAAUUGGAAAUUUUGCAGUCAGAUUGUGCACUAUUGAUGAAUUGAAUAGUUUUAUUAAGCUGGUUUUGCCACGUUUCCUCCUUCUGUGUUAGAAUGUCUGAAGUGCAAAAUACCAGAGAGUCCUCGUCCCUUGGCUAGCUGCUCAAUUUCCUCAAGUUUGUGUCUAAGAAUUUCCACUUCUUUGGCUAAUUCUUCAUCCCUUUUCCUCAUUGCCUCCAAUUCUUGCCGGCGCAUUUCCUCCUUCCUGGCUUCUGAUUUGGCACUCCUUUGCACCUCAAAUAUCACAACAGCUCCUGCCACCGUGAAAACAAAGAGUUCCCCUAUGAGAUCAACGGCAGCCUGGACAGCUUUCUCCUCAUUCAAAGGGCGUAUCUCAACAUCUGUUGCGUGACUAUAGAUUCGCCUUUGCAUUCUCGUCGUCAAUCUGUGGUUUGCCUGGGCCAUGUUGAUGAUGAACUGGCGGAACUUGGGGUGGAAAGCAGCCUGUUGCUUGAGCUUACUAGCGACUGGCUUUCUUUGCGGUUUUGCCGCUUCCCAAGCUUUAAUAGCGGCAGCACCAUAAUCGCCUUUUCGUUGAAGCUUUUUAGAUCUGCUUUGUGCGAUUUCUCGCGAAUAACUGAAGCGAACGACCAAUGGGCCUUAGCUUUGGGUUUUAUUAGGGAUCAUAUCGAAAAAUGAAAUGCGAAAGUGGCGUGUUAUGAAAAAUAUUUCCUUGAUGAAGAAGAAAGAUCGCCCGCUGCAACUGCGAAUUAGCUGCGACUAGACGUGGAAGAUGUCAAUUC
rnacentral:misc_RNA from 1 species